rnacentral:rRNA from 1 species
UACAGAGGGUGCGAGCGUUAAUCGGAAUUACUGGGCGUAAAGCGCACGUAGGUGGCUUGGCAAGUCGGGUGUGAAAUCCCCGGGCUCAACCUGGGAACUGCAUUCGAGACUGCCUUGCUAGAGUAUGGGAGAGGGAAGUGGAAUUUCCGGUGUAGCGGUGAAAUGCGUAGAUAUCGGAAGGAACACCAGUGGCGAAAGCGGCUUCCUGGUCCAGCACCGACGUUCAGGCACGAAAGCGUGGGGAGCAAACAGG